CCGUGGAGGCGUCCUCUGAGCUGAGUCCAGGCCUGGGUUGGGCUUGCAGGAGACUCUGAGCGCAGCAGCCCUCACCACGCACACAGUCAGGCUGGCCUGAAGCCCUGGAAUCCUGGCCAAGACGGGAAAGAGGAAAGCUCUCCGGCCUUGACCUGCGUGUCUCCAUCCCUCGGCUCCCAGCUCGAACACCGCCUCUUCCAGGUAACCUGCUACAACCCUCACGGGCUCUGAGCCCCGAGGGGUCCUGCUCCCCCAAAGCUCAAUCAUAGUGUGUGUGUCCAAGUUGAUUUGUCCCAGCACCUUCCUCCCACCUGGUCUGUCCCCUCCAUCCCCAUCAUACGGCAGUGGCCAGCCCCACGAGGUCCCAAGGGGGUGCUCAAGCACAGGUGUGGAGACCCCCCCCCACACACACACACGGACCACCCAGAACCUCUCUGAGGUGCAGGGCACUGUGGCUGGCCCUGGUCGACCCCAUUAGAGGCUACACCCUGCCCCCCCAGCAUCUGCCUGGCCAUAGCCCCCAGGCCAGCCCAGUGACCAUGACUGUGGGCACAGCAGAACGGGGUGUGCCAAGAAUGGUCCGGAUGGGGUCAGGACCCUCGGCAACCUCACUACUCAGCUGGGAGGAAGUCAGAGCCAGAGGGGCUCCUCCUUACUCCUACCACCCUGGCAGUCCACAGCCUCUCUGUCUGGUUGGACAGGUUUCCGGGGCUGGCCUGGGUGGAGUCAUCCUCUGGUAGAGGCAGGCCAUGGGGCAGGGGCCAGAAAACUGGCACACCGGAGCCCCUGUACAGUCAGGCCAAUGACAUAUCCACCCACACCCAGAGACGGGUCUUGCCCUGUGGCCAGUCACCCUGGGUCGGGGAAGGGCUGGCACCGGGACCCGUCCAUCCAGCAAGGCCAGCUCGGCUUCCUCCUCUGGCUGGCCCUGCCUGGCCCUGGAAAGCACGGAGUGCCCAGCGCCGGCCCUACCACUCGCUCCUUGCCCUGGCAUCCCAGCCUCCCCUCGGCAGUGAGGAGGCCCAGGCCCUGGAGGCUGGACACCAGAUGAGCAGCAUGGCUUGGGUGCCACACAACAGAUGUGCAGGAAUGGGACAUUUCACGGGGAACCAGAAAAACACCCCGGCCGAGGUAGGGCCGUGACUCACGGGUGGGCAGGGCUCGGUCCUGGCUGCCUGGGCCCCCGCUCCGAGAAACUUGCCAGUGCUGGCCCCACCCACGCAGUCCCGCCAACGUGACCCUCCUCCUGGAGGCCUUUCUUAGGGCUCCACCCCCCUGGCUCCAAACACCACAUCCUCCUAUCGUCUGACCCACUGGCUGACCUCUCAGGCUCGGCCUCAGCCCUAGGGAACGCAAGACAGCUUGAACCCAGGCCCAUCUGGGCCAGGGCAGGGGACACACUCCCACCCCUCCUGUCCAGCCUCUGGGUGGACCGGAGACCUGCAGCACAGGUUAGGAUGUCAUCAGUGGCUUCCCCACCCCUGAAUGUACCACAGAGGCUUGAAGCCGGUGGUUGUGUCCAGCCCGGGACCCACUUCAAGGGGGCCGCAGCAGAGAAGAGUCACCAGAACAAAGGUCACUCUGAUUUAUUGCCGGGGCUGCGGGCCCUGAGGGAGGUGGUCAAGGGUGUCCCCAAGACUGCCAUUACAGCCAGUGCCCAGGGCUCUGUUUCAAGGGGCCGGAGCUGGGCUGUUGGCCUCUGUGGCGGGGAGAUAGUCCUAUCCAGGGUGGAAAGUGGCCACCUCCCACGACAACGGUCCAGUGGCUGCCCCAAACAUGUGGGCACCGCUGUGGCUGCCUGAGCCAUGUUGGGGUCCUGCGGGAGGCCCCUCGGCCCGGCAGGGGCUGGGCUAGGAGAUGACGCAGCAGCAGCUGUGGCAGCGGCAGAAGCGAGGGCAGUGGCAGCAGGAACAGCAGGGACAGCAGCAGCAGUGGUGGGCGAUGUCAUCCCCGCGCCCGAUGGGUGGCAGGCCAGCGUAGGUCAGUCCUGCCGGGCGCUGCCCACCGCUGUAGGGGUUGCAGGGCUGCUGCCAGCUCUGCUGGCCCUGGACCCGGGUGGUCCCCUUGGCCCCCUUGCUCCCCGGAGCCUCCUCGGAGGGCUGCAGGAGCCCGGUGGGCUCCGAGGUGCAGGAUCCCACAGGCGGAGGCUGGGACCCCAAGGAAGGAGGAGCCGUCUCCAGCCGCUGCCCCAGAUCAGGCCGCAGGUGAGCCCGAGGGAUGCUGACAUGAGCAUACGGGUUCUUGACGACCAUCUCAUGUGGGUCCAUGGCCCAGCCUGGCGGGGGCAGGCAGAAGAGACAGAAUCAGCUCAGCGGAGGGGCAGAGCUGCAGCCCAAGAGGGUGCCCAACCCGCAAAGGGCCUGGCUGUGGAGACACCAGGGUGUACAAGGCUUAUGUGUCGUGUGGGUGCGCAUGGGAGUGAGCUGGGUGUGAGGGCCGAGGUCUCCCAGCUGCCCUCCUUGCGUGGCAGUGGGGGAUGGGGUGGGGAGGCUGGGAGAUGCAGCUGUGCCGUCCCCGUGGCCGAGCCCCAGUGCAGGGAAGCCCCUCAGCCCAGGACCCACCUGCAGUGCUGAUGGCAGCGGUGUCCCCUCUCGUCCUGUGGGCCAGGUCCCAGCGCCUGUGAGGCAAGCAACUGGCAGCUGCCUUUUCCCUCCUGGGGAGGGGCGGGGCCGUGGGGCGGAGCUCAAAGAUGGGGUUCCCAAGAUCCCAGGAGGCCCCAGCUCUCCCAGCACAGCGGCCACCCACCCUUCCUUCUCAGGUGGGUGGUGGCCCAGCCUGGGCUCCGAGGGGCACGGCCAGCCUGGGUGACUCAGCCUCCAUGCAUCUGAGGCACGUCGUCAUCCCUCCCAGGACCUGCAGCUCGCCAGGAAGGAGGGCAGGAGGUGAGCCUGAAGUCAGCCUCAGCUCCUGGGCCUGCGGUGGGCUGGGGAACCCCAGCCAUCACUCGCCUACCUCAGAACCCCUGUUUUGAGGCAGAGGGCAGAGGUCCUCACUUCAACCAACAGCCUCUGCCUGGCAGACAGAGGCUAAGAUGUCUGAGAGCACAAACUGCUCUGAGGUUUAUAGGUUUCUAACUGAUAAAAAAUGUUGUAUUUACA